rnacentral:rRNA from 1 species
GUAGGCUUUGGAAACUGUUUAACUUGAGUGCAGAAGGGGAGAGUGGAAUUCCAUGUGUAGCGGUGAAAUGCGUAGAUAUAUGGAGGAACACCGGUGGCGAAAGCGGCUNUCUGGUCUGUAACUGACGCUGAGGCUCGAAAGCGUGGGGAGCGAACAGGAUUAGAUACCCUGGUAGUNCACGCCGUAAACGAUGAGUGCUAGGUGUUAGGUCCUUUCCGGGACUUAGUGCCGCAGCUAACGCAUUAAGCACUCCGCCUGGGGAGUACGACCGCAAGGUUGAAACUCAAAGGAAUUGACGGGGGCCCGCACAAGCGGUGGAGCAUGUGGUUUAAUUCGAAGCAACGCGAAGAACCUUACCAGGUCUUGACAUCCCGAUGCUAUUUCUAGAGAUAGGAAGUUUCUUCGGAACAUCGGUGACAGGUGGUGCAUGGUUGUCGUCAGCUCGUGUCGUGAGAUGUUGGGUUAAGUCCCGCAACGAGCGCAACCCUUAUUGUUAGUUGCCAUCAUUGAGUUGGGCACUCUAGCGAGACUGCCGGUAAUAAACCGGAGGAAGGUGGGGAUGACGUCAAAUCAUCAUGUCCCUUAUGACCUGGGCUACACACGUGCUACAAUGGCUGGUACAACGAGUCGCAAGCCGGUGACGGCAAGCUAAUCUCUGAAAGCCAGUCUCAGUUCGGAUUGUAGGCUGCAACUCGCCUACAUGAAGUCGGAAUCGCUAGUAAUCGCGGAUCAGCACGCCGCGGUGAAUACGUUCCCGGGCCUUGUACACACCGC